rnacentral:lncRNA from 1 species
ACGAUGGUUUUUCUCUCAUUCUUACCUUUGUUAAGCUAUCUCAUCGAUAGUUAGGUAAAAGUAUCAUUCGUCUUUGUUAAGCUAUCAUUUCAACGAUAGUUAGACGAUGAUUUUUCUCUCAUUCUUACCUUUGUUAAGCUAUCUCAUCGAUAGUUAGGUAAAAGUAUCAUUUGUCUUUGUUAAGCUAUCAUUUCAACGAUAGUUAGACGAUGGUUUUUCUCUCAUUCUUACCUUUGUUAAGCUAUCUCAUCGAUAGUUAGGUAAAAGUAUCAUUUGUCUUUGUUAAGCUAUCAUUUCAACGAUAGUUAGACGAUGGUUUUUCUUUCAUUCUUACCUUUGUUAAGCUAUCUCAUCGAUAGUUAGGUAAAAAUAUCAAUCGUCUCUGUUCAGCUAUCAAUACGAUAGUAGACAAUCAUUUUCCCCAAUGAAACUAUAUUCCCCUAACGGAGUCGGACCCCUUUUUCUUCAACGAAUUAGGGUAUCCCGUUAUUGUUUCUCAUUCCAGUCAAAUCACAUUUGUCGUCCUGCAUUCAUACUUGCAUCACAUGCAUUCAUAACAUCUUA